AGGACGAACGCUGGCGGCGUGCCUAACACAUGCAAGUCGAGCGGAGUUAACAAGAGGAAGUUUCGGAUGGAAUUUGUAAUUAGCGGCGGACGGGUGAGUAACGCGUGAGCGACCAACCUUGCACAGGGGGAUAACGGACCGAAAGGUUCACUAAUACCGCAUGAGACCACGGUGUUGCAUGACACAGAGGUCAAAGGAGCAAUCCGGUGCAAGACGGGCUCGCGUCCGAUUAGGUAGUUGGUGGGGUAAUGGCCCACCAAGCCUAUGAUCGGUAGCCGACCUGAGAGGGUGAUCGGCCACAUUGGAACUGAGAUACGGUCCAAACUCCUACGGGAGGCAGCAGUGGGGAAUAUUGGGCAAUGGGGGGAAACCCUGACCCAGCAACGCCGCGUGAAGGAAGAAGGUUUUCGGAUUGUAAACUUCUGUCCUUGGUGAAGAGAAGAAGACGGUAGCCAAGGAGGAAGCCCCGGCUAACUACGUGCCAGCCGCAGC
rnacentral:rRNA from 1 species